CCUUCCUACUACCCUUAGAGUUAAUCCCCUAGAGCUAAUUUUACUUAUUUUUCUGUUCUCUAAUGCCUAUAACAUAAUAGUAUCUACAUAAAUGUUUGAAAAUACAAGUUGAAUAUUGCUUUUUAUUAUUAAUAUAGUGAAAGAAAGCAGGAUGAAGGCAAGUAUAUAAUUUCACCUGUAUGAUAACCUAUAUCCCAGAGAGCUGCCCUACGACAAGAGAUUAUAAUGUACCAGUGUGUCCUCUGAUUUUGUC
rnacentral:lncRNA from 1 species